UAACACGUGGGGUAACCUGGCCUGUAAGACUGGGGAUAACUCCGGGAAACCGGGGCUAAUACCGGAUGGUUGUUUGAACCGCAUGGUUCAAACAUAAAAGGUGGCUUCGGCUACCACUUACAGAUGGACCCGCGGCGCAUUAGCUAGUUGGUGAGGUAACGGCUCACCAAGGCAACGAUGCGUAGCCGACCUGAGAGGGUGAUCGGCCACACUGGGACUGAGACACGGCCCAGACUCCUACGGGAGGCAGCAGUAGGGAAUCUUCCGCAAUGGACGAAAGUCUGACGGAGCAACGCCGCGUGAGUGAUGAAGGUUUUCGGAUCGUAAAGCUCUGUUGUUAGGGAAGAACAAGUACCGUUCGAAUAGGGCGGUACCUUGACGGUACCUAACCAGAAAGCCACGGCUAACUACGUGCCAGCAGCCGCGGUAAUACGUAGGUGGCAAGCGUUGUCCGGAAUUAUUGGGCGUAAAGGGCUCGCAGGCGGUUUCUUAAGUCUGAUGUGAAAGCCCCCGGCUCAACCGGGGAGGGUCAUUGGAAACUGGGGAACUUGAGUGCAGAAGAGGAGAGUGGAAUUCCACGUGUAGCGGUGAAAUGCGUAGAGAUGUGGAGGAACACCAGUGGCGAAGGCGACUCUCUGGUCUGUAACUGACGCUGAGGAGCGAAAGCGUGGGGAGCGAACAGGAUUAGAUACCCUGGUAGUCCACGCCGUAAACGAUGAGUGCUAAGUGUUAGGGGGUUUCCGCCCCUUAGUGCUGCAGCUAACGCAUUAAGCACUCCGCCUGGGGAGUACGGUCGCAAGACUGAAACUCAAAGGAAUUGACGGGGGCCCGCACAAGCGGUGGAGCAUGUGGUUAAUUCAAAGCAACGCGAAGAACCGUACCGGGUCUGGACAUCCUCUGACCAUCCCAGAGAUAG
rnacentral:rRNA from 1 species